rnacentral:rRNA from 1 species
UACGUAGGGGGCAAGCGUUGUCCGGAAUCAUUGGGCGUAAAGCGCGUGUAGGCGGCCUUGUAAGUCCGUUCUGAAAUCCCGCGGCUCAACCGCGGGUCUGCAGUCGAUACGGGCAGGCUAGAGUUCGGUAGGGGAGACUGGAAUUCCUGGUGUAGCGGUGAAAUGCGCAGAUAUCAGGAGGAACACCGGUGGCGAAGGCGGUUCUCUGGGCAUUACCUGACGCUGAGGAGCGAAAGUGUGGGGAGCGAACAGG